rnacentral:rRNA from 1 species
CGGUUGAUCCUGCCGGACCCGACUGCUAUCAGAGUGGGACUAAGCCAUGCGAGUCAACAUAGCAAUAUGUGGCAUACGGCUCAGUAACACGUAGUCAACAUGCCCAGGGGACGUGGAUAACCUCGGGAAACUGAGGAUAAACCGCGAUAGGUCAUCACUUCUGGAAUGGGUAAUGACUUAAAUCUACAUGGCCCCUGGAUUGGACUGCGGCCGAUCAGGCUGUUGGUGAGGUAAUGGCCCACCAAACCUGUAACUGGUACGGGCUCUGAGAGGAGGAGCCCGGAGAUGGGCACUGAGACAAGGGCCCAGGCCCUAUGGGGCGCAGCAGGCGCGAAACCUCUGCAAUAGGCGAAAGCUUGACAGGGUUACUCUGAGUGAUUUCCGUUAAGGAGAUCUUUUGGCACCUCUAAAAAUGGUGCAGAAUAAGGGGUGGGCAAGUCUGGUGUCAGCCGCCGCGGUAAUACCAGCACCCCGAGUGGUCGGGACGUUUAUUGGGCCUAAAGCAUCCGUAGCCGGUUCUACAAGUCUUCCGUUAAAUCCACCUGCUUAACAGAUGGGCUGCGGAAGAUACUAUAGAGCUAGGAGGCGGGAGAGGCAAGCGGUACUCGAUGGGUAGGGGUAAAAUCCGUUGAUCCAUUGAAGACCACCAGUGGCGAAGGCGGCUUGCCAGAACGCGCUCGACGGUGAGGGAUGAAAGCUGGGGGAGCAAACCGGAUUAGAUACCCGGGUAGUCCCAGCUGUAAACGAUGCAGACUCGGUGAUGAGUUGGCUUAUUGCUAACUCAGUGCCGCAGGRAAGCCGUUAAGUUUGCCGCCUGGGGAGUACGGUCGCAAGACUGAAACUUAAAGGAAUUGGCGGGGGAGCACCACAAGGGGUGAAGCCUGCGGUUC